rnacentral:tRNA from 1 species
GGGGCGUUUGCUCAGUUGGUAGAGCAGUUGACUUUUAAUCAAUUGGUCGCAGGUUCGAAUCCUGCACGACCCACCA